GUUUUAUGAACGUAUGAUAGGUUACAGUGACUGUUUAUUACAGUAUGUACUUGGUUUUAGCAAUAAUAGCAAUUAAACCUUUAAAAAUAACGAUAAUGUUUCUAUAACUCAACUCUGAAAAGUUGUAUUGUUCAUAUUUUAGUGACAAUGUACAUUUUUGUUUGUUGAAUAAAUUAAUUGAAUAGCACAUUUCAAGAAGAAUUACAGUAAGAUUGUACGAAUUGUACUGUCCAACUACAAAUCAUAAAUUUUAUGAUUUUAUAGUUUCUUCAUAUUUUCACGUCAAAAAUAUCUUAUUUCAAAGUUUCAAACGAUGGUUUUUAAGCAUAGAUAUAUUUUAAGUCAAGCGGUAGCGCGGAUUUACUGGAACGAGUUCGAAAUUCGAAGUGCCAAUUUUCAAAAAAUUUUCGCGUAAAAAAUUUAAAUUCUUGCUAAAAUACGAUGGAUUCUAGUGAGUAGCAUUAAUAUAUUUGCUUUUACUUCAAACCAUAAUAUAAAGGAAUAUAUUUAGUGGUCUCUUUGAUAAUAUUUGUGUCUGUUUUUAAGGUUUUUCUCGGGUACCUUCAACCGGUCUACAACUGACACCUACGUCCAGAGGUGGCAGCAUGAUGGGGCAAACUGGGUCAAUGAGUUUUGGUACGCCGAGCCAUGGUCAGAAUACAAGCAGUUAUCUUCCUGGGUAUCUGCUAGGCGGACAUACCCCUUCUCAAAUG
rnacentral:lncRNA from 1 species